AGCUAGUGUGGCAUAGUGGUUUGAGCAUUUGACUACAACUCUGGAGACCAGGGUUCAAUUCCCAGCUUGGCCA